CACGUAGGGGGCGAGCGUUGUCCGGAAUCAUUGGGCGUAAAGAGCUCGUAGGCGGCUCGGUAAGUCGGGUGUGAAACCCCCAGGCUCAACCUGGAGACGCCACUUGAUACUGCUUUGACUUGAGUUCGGUAGGGGUAAGCGGAAUUCCUGGUGUAGCGGUGAAAUGCGCAGAUAUCAGGAGGAACACCGACGGCGAAGGCAGCUUACUGGGCCGAUACUGACGCUGAGGAGCGAAAGCGUGGGGAGCGAACAGG
rnacentral:rRNA from 1 species